AUGUCUGCCGGCGGAGCGCGCCGCCAGUGGGCCCUGAACCCGGCAUUGGCCGGGAAGCCGAUCGCACUGCUCUUCCCACUGCUGCCACAGAACGCCUGCCAUUUAACUCACUGCCGGAGGCCGGCUCCAGCCUCCGCCGCGGCCCGACCCGCCCCCGGCGGCCCUAGGCCAGGGCGGGCACUGCCGGCGCUCCGCCAGGGCCGGGGGCGGGGUCGCCGUCGCUUCCUCCGCGGCGCUUGUGGGCGGUCGGGCUCGCCAUGGGGCAGUGUUUGCCGUGCAUGGGGGGCGCUGUCAAGGACGUGGUGGAGACGCCCGACCCGGAAAUAAAAAGAAGACAACUAGCAGAAGCCGCUGAAAAGAGGCAGAUGGAGGCUUCCUCUCGAGGUAUUAAGAAUGUUUACUCUGUAGAGCAGAAGAAAAAGAAACAGGAAGAAAUAGACAGAAGAAUGGCAGCUUCACGUCCUGGAGGAGAAGGAGGACUGAGA
rnacentral:lncRNA from 1 species